rnacentral:rRNA from 1 species
CAUGAAGCCGGAAUUGCUAGUAAUGGCAGGUCAGCAUACUGCCGUGAAUACGUUCCCGGGCCUUGUACACACCGCCCGUCAAGCCAUGGAAGCCGGGAGUGCCUGAAGUACGCGACCGCAAGGAGCGUCCUAAGGUAAAACCGGUGACUGGGGCUAAGUCGUAACAAGGUACC